AUUGAACGCUGGCGGCAGGCCUAACACAUGCAAGUCGAGCGGAUGAAGGGAGCUUGCUCCUGGAUUCAGCGGCGGACGGGUGAGUAAUGCCUAGGAAUCUGCCUGGUAGUGGGGGAUAACGUCCGGAAACGGGCGCUAAUACCGCAUACGUCCUGAGGGAGAAAGUGGGGGAUCUUCGGACCUCACGCUAUCAGAUGAGCCUAGGUCGGAUUAGCUAGUUGGUGGGGUAAAGGCCUACCAAGGCGACGAUCCGUAACUGGUCUGAGAGGAUGAUCAGUCACACUGGAACUGAGACACGGUCCAGACUCCUACGGGAGGCAGCAGUGGGGAAUAUUGGACAAUGGGCGAAAGCCUGAUCCAGCCAUGCUGCGUGUGUGAAGAAGGUCUUCGGAUUGUAAAGCACUUUAAGUUGGGAGGAAGGGCAGUAAGUUAAUACCUUGCUGUUUUGACGUUACCAACAAAAUAAGCACCGGCUAACUUCGUG
rnacentral:rRNA from 1 species